rnacentral:rRNA from 1 species
AUUGAACGCUGGCGGCAUGCCUAACACAUGCAAGUCGAACGUGAAAGAGGGGCAACUCUCGAGUAAAGUGGCGGACGGGUGAGUAAUACGUAGGAAUCUGCCCUAACGUGGGGGAUAACCUGCCGAAAGGCGGGCUUAUACCGCAUAAUCUCUACGGAGACAAGGUGGCUAGCAAUAGCCUUCGCUUUAGGAUGAGCCUACGUCGGAUUAGCUAGUUGGUAGGGUAAAGGCCUACCAAGGCAACAAUCCGUAGCUGGUCUGAGAGGACGAUCAGCCACACUGGAACUGAGACACGGUCCAGACUCCUACGGGAGGCAGCAGUGGGGAAUAUUGGACAAUGGGGGAAACCCUGAUCCAGCAAUGCCGCGUGUGCGAUGAAGGCCUGCGGGUUGUAAAGCACUUUCGGUGAGGAAGAAACGCUCAAAUAUAAUACAUUUGAGAACUGACGUUACUCACAGAAGAAGCACCGGCAAACUCUGUGCCAGCAGCCGCCGUAA